rnacentral:misc_RNA from 1 species
GAUGAAGAACGCAGCGAAAUGCGAUAAGUAAUGUGAAUUGCAGAAUUCAGUGAAUCAUCGAAUCUUUGAACGCACAUUGCGCCCCUUGGUAUUCCGAGGGGCAUGCCUGUUCGAGCGUCAUUAUAACCCCUCAAGCUCAGCUUGGUGUUGGGGCCUGCUGCACUGGCAGCCCUUAAAAUCAGUGGCGGCGCCAUCUGGCUCUAAGCGUAGUAAUUCUUCUCGCUAUGGAGUCCUGGUGGAUGCUUGCCAUCAACCCCCAAUUUUUCUAUGGUUGACCUCGGAUCAGGUAGGGAUUCCCGCUGAACUUAAGCAUAUCAAUAAGCGGAGGA